UAUUACCUUGCAUAUGAAAACUGUUUCAAAUUUUCCCCAGGCUCCAUAUGAAAGCACUUGAAUCCCUCCAGUUUAUCUCAGUGCCUUAGACUGGAUCUUCUAGAAACAGAGAAUUCCAGGUAGAAGGUUUAUUGGAGAAUGCCCUCAGGAAAUAUACCUAAAGGAAGUGAAGAUGGAGGCAAGACUGGACAGAGGGAGAAGCUGACUCACAUUGCAGUUACAAGUGAGGCCUCAGCUUAUCCUACUUGGAGCCCUAGAGCUGAAUGAACUUCUAGAGUUGUUUUAAAUUGAGGUGAGGGACUGAGCCUGUGUAUUUAUUCCCCAUCAGCCAUUCAUUAUGCUUGCUGGCAGAGGGCAUAACCUUGAGUGAGGCACACUAUGAAAUGUCAGAAGCCUAUUUCCGCAACAGCUUGGAGAUGGAUGUGAAAUGAACUGCAGAUUCUGAGCGCAGUUUUACAAGCACAACUUGAGUCUGAGUUCUAGCUACUGCCCAGUUGUGUGACCUUGGCCAACACUGUGUUAGAUUAAUGGAAUCCUCACCGAAGUCCUCCGUCGAUUUGUGAGUUUGUAAGUAGAAGAGAAUUAAUUAAAUAACGAAAGAGUACAGAUGUCAAAAUUUGUAUUGUAUAAGCAACAGUUCUGCUAGGUAGAAUGUAUCAGGCAUCUUGCUUAACAAAUCCUUACAACAAAGGUUAAGAUACUCCGGGCCACUAAAAGCAACAGGGAGCUGUUGAUGCAAU
rnacentral:lncRNA from 1 species